rnacentral:rRNA from 1 species
AUACGUAGGGGGCAAGCGUUAUCCGGAUUUACUGGGUGUAAAGGGAGCGUAGGUGGUGAGGCAAGUCAGGUGUGAAAGCCCGGGGCUCAACCCCGGGACUGCACUUGAAACUGCCGCACUGGAGUGCAGGAGAGGUAAGUGGAAUUCCUAGUGUAGCGGUGAAAUGCGUAGAUAUUAGGAGGAACACCAGUGGCGAAGGCGGCUUACUGGACUGUAACUGACACUGAGGCUCGAAAGCGGGGGGAGCAAAGAGGAUUAGAUACCCUGGUAGUCCAAGCCGUAAACGAUGAAUACUAGGUGUCGGGGGGCAAAAGCCCUCCGGUGCCGUCGCAAACGCAUUAAGUAUUCCACCUGGGGAGUACGUUCGCAAGAAUGAA